rnacentral:rRNA from 1 species
AUGACGUCUGUCCCGAAACCACUCAAAUUCCUCCGCGCACACUAUGGAACUCUCAAGACUUGCUUUGAGAGAAUGCAGGAUUCUGAACAGCAGAAGAAACAUAUGGCAGACAUUCUGUCAGUAUUGGCCUUGACAAUGUCUGCUGAAGGAGAAAGGGAAAGCCUGAAGUACUGUAUGAUGGGCUCUUUAGUUGAUAUAUGUUCAUGGGGUCAUGAAUACGUGAGAAACUUGGCUUUUGAAAUUGGAAAAGAAUGGAAGUUCAAUGGCUCAUCAACGCCAAUUGAAUCCGAAAUAAAUUUAGUGCUGGAAAUUGUCAAGUUUCACAUGAAGCAUAAUGCUGAAACUGAAGCUCUGGAUCUUUUGAUGGAGGUUGGAUACCUUGAGAUGCUUUCAGACGAAAAAAAGGAAGAAUACCUUACGAUGCUACUUCAUCUUGUUGACUCUACCAACUACAAAAGGGCAUGCUUGUAUUUGACUAGUUGUUCUAAAUACCUUUCUACACCCGACCAUGAAGCCACACUUGGCACUGCCUAUGACAUGUACAUGAAGUUUAGGGAUCUUGCAAGUGCUUUGCGGAUUGCACUUUUGGUCGACGACCACAAGUAUUGUGGUCAGAAUGUGAAGAUGAAGAUGGUAUUUGAAGAAACUGAAGAUUUCUCCCUGAAGCAGCAAUUCGCAUUUAUGAUAGCACGCUAUGGUUUAAGCGUGGAGAUUGAUGAUGAGAUGGUUGCAGAUGAAAAUGAGAAGAAUGCUUUACAGGAAGUAGUUUUUAACACCAAACUGAGUGCGGGGUACCAUAUCCUUGCGCGGGAUAUUGGUGUCAUGGAGCCAAAAUCUCCAGAGGACAUAUAUAAGGUUCAUCUGAUUGGCGGUCGACGUGCCAAAAGCUCCAGCCUUGAUUCUGCAAGACCGAAUUUGGCCGCAAUUUUUGUCAAUGCAUUUGUGAAUGCUGGUUAUUGCCAGGACAAACUCAUGACUGCAAUACCAGAUUCUUUGCUAUUCAAGAACAACGAACUUUGGAAAGCCAGUGCAGUAGCUAGUCUGGGAAUGAUACAUCUGUGGGAUACUGAUUCAGGAUUUGCCAAACUUGACAAGUAUCUGCACAGCAAUGAUACUAAUGUCGUUGCAGGAACUUUGUUAGGUAUAGGGAUUGUCUCUUAUGGUGUGAAGAAGGACUAUGAUCUUGCACAUGCUCUUAUUUCUGAGUAUAGCACGGGUGCAACAUCAAUUACACGAAUCGGGGGAAUCUUGGGUCUUGGCAUUGCUUAUGCUGGGUCCCAGAAAGACGAGCUUAAAUCGCAUUUCUCAAUUACCAUGAGUAACUCCCAAACACCUUUUGAGGAAUUAGUGUUCUCUUCCAUCUCUUUGGGAUUGGUGUUUGUUGGUUCCUGCAAUGAAGAGAUUGCAGAGUCAAUCAUAUCUGUCUUGAAAAAUCACAGUAAAGAGCUUACAGAGCCCAUUAUUCAUCUACUUCCAGUUGCCCUUGGCCUUCUAUAUCUUGGAAAACAGGAGAUGGUAGUUGCUACUGCUGCUAAGGUUUCUGAAACAUUGGAAGAACCAUUAAAGAAGUACUGUGGCCUGACUCUUACGUCUUUGGCAUAUGCUGGGACAGGGAAUGUGCUUAAGGUUCAGGAGCUCCUUUGUAGUUGUUCAGAUAAACUUGUGAAAGGUGGAAGUGACCAAGGGCCAGCAGUCCUUGGAAUUGCUCUUAUUGCCAUGGCUGAAGGAUUAGGAGCUGAAAUGUCUGUACGGUCCCUCGAGCAGCUUUUACAGUAUGGUGAUUGUAGUAUUAGAAGAGCAGUUCCUCUUGCUCUUGGCAUGCUCUGCGUAUCCAAUCCAAAGGCGGUUGUUGUGGACACAUGA